rnacentral:rRNA from 1 species
UUCGGUCAAAAAGAAAAGAUGACUUAGUGGCGGACGGGUGAGUAAUGCGUGAGCAACCUGCCUCGGAGAGGGGGACAACAGCUGGAAACGGCUGCUAAUACCGCAUAAUGUAUUUGGAGGGCAUCCUCUGAAUACCAAAGAUUUAUCGCUCUGAGAUGGGCUCACGUCUGAUUAGUUAGUUGGUGAGGUAACGGCUCACCAAGACUGCGAUCAGUAGCCGGACUGAGAGGUUGAACGGCCACAUUGGGACUGAGAUACGGCCCAGACUCCUACGGGAGGCAGCAGUGGGGAAUAUUGGGCAAUGGGCGCAAGCCUGACCCAGCAACGCCGCGUGAAGGAAGAAGGCUUUCGGGUUGUAAACUUCUUUUAUGAGGGACGAAGAAUGUGACGGUACCUCAUGAAUAAGCCACGGCUAACUACGUGCCAGCAGCCGCGGUAAUACGUAGGUGGCGAGCGUUAUCCGGAUUUACUGGGUGUAAAGGGCGCGUAGGCGGGGAAGCAAGUCAGAUGUGAAAUCCAUGGGCUCAACCCAUGAACUGCAUUUGAAACUGUUUCUCUUGAGUGCCGGAGAGGUAGACGGAAUUCCUAGUGUAGCGGUGAAAUGCGUAGAUAUUAGGAGGAACACCAGUGGCGAAGGCGGUCUACUGGACGGUAACUGACGCUGAGGCGCGAAAGCGUGGGGAGCAAACAGGAUUAGAUACCCUGGUAGUCCACGCUGUAAACGAUGAAUACUAGGUGUGGGGGGACUGACCCCUUCCGUGCCGCAGUUAACACAAUAAGUAUUCCACCUGGGGAGUACGACCGCAAGGUUGAAACUCAAAGGAAUUGACGGGGGCCCGCACAAGCAGUGGAUUAUGUGGUUUAAUUCGAAGCAACGCGAAGAACCUUACCAGGGCUUGACAUCCAACUAACGAAGUAGAGAUACAUUAG